GAUGAACGCUGGCGGCGUGCCUAAUACAUGCAAGUCGAGCGGUAAGGCUUCUUCGGAAGUACACGAGCGGCGGACGGCUGAGUAAUGCAUAGGAACGUACCCCAAACUGAGGGAUAAGCCACCGAAAGGUGGUCUAAUACCGCAUGUGCUCUUCGGAGUAAAGCUACGGCGGUUUGGGAGCGGCCUAUGUUGGAUUAGCUUGUUGGUGAGGUAAUGGCUCACCAAGGCGACGAUCGAUAGCGGGUCUGAGAGGAUGAUCCGCCAGACUGGAACUGAGACACGGUCCAGACUCCUACGGGAGGCAGCAGUAGGGAAUUUUCCACAAUGGGGGCAACCCUGAUGGAGCAACGCCGCGUGCAGGAUGAAGGCCUUCGGGUUGUAAACUGCUUUUCUCUGUGAUGAUUAUGACAGUAGCAGAGGAAUAAGGAUCGGCUAACUCCGUGCCAGCAGCCGCCGUAA
rnacentral:rRNA from 1 species